CCAGCCCAGGGCAGACGCAGUCUGGCCAAAUGAUUCUUAGCAGCAGGUCAGGCACCACGUAUAACCCUGUCGCCAUUAACAAGGAAGCAGCUCCAUGAUGACAGGCUCGAGCCGCUGGACCAGGUCCUCGUAAGACUGCAAGUGCAAGUGGGAAGGGUCCCUCAGGCCCUGCUCCAGGGGGCCCUUGGCUGAACCCUCCACUGCUGGAACUCACAUGCUGGCAACUGAGGACUGGUAGGAGGCACUGUGCCCUUCCAGCCCACAGUAGAUGGAGUGCCCAGAAAGAGCUGUGGGGGCAGGGGCAAUAAAGGCUGCCAAAACU